rnacentral:rRNA from 1 species
AUUGAACGCUGGCGGCAGGCUUAACACAUGCAAGUCGAGCGGAGAUGAGGUGCUUGCACCUUAUCUUAGCGGCGGACGGGUGAGUAAUGCUUAGGAAUCUGCCUAUUAGUGGGGGACAACAUUCCGAAAGGAAUGCUAAUACCGCAUACGUCCUACGGGAGAAAGCAGGGGACCUUCGGACCAUGCGCUAAUAGAUGAGCCUAAGUCGGAUUAGCUAGUUGGUGGGGUAAAGGCCUACCAAGGCGACGAUCUGUAGCGGGUCUGAGAGGAUGAUCCGCCACACUGGGACUGAGACACGGCCCAGACUCCUACGGGAGGCAGCAGUGGGGAAUAUUGGACAAGGGGGGGAACCCUGAUCCAGCCAUGCCGCGUGUGUGAAGAAGGCCUUAUGGUUGUAAAGCACUUUAAGCGAGGAGGAGGCUACUGAGACUAAUACUCUUGGAUAGUGGACGUUACUCGCAGAAUAAGCACCGGCUAACUCUGUGCCAGCCGCCGCAGUAACAC